rnacentral:rRNA from 1 species
AGAGUUUGAUCAUGGCUCAGGAUAAACGCUGGCGGCGUGCCUAACACAUGCAAGUCGAACGCGGCCCUAGCAAUAGUGCCGAGUGGCGGACGGGUGAGGAACACGUGGGUUAUCUACCUUGAGGUGAGGAAUACCGGCGAGAAAUCGCCGACAAUACCGCAUGAAUCCGGGAAACCGGGCAAAGCUGAGCAAUCAGCGCCGCAAGAUGAGCCUGCGUCCGAUUAGCCAGGUUGGUGGGGUAAUGGCCUACCAAAGCGACGAUCGGUAGCUGGUCUGAGAGGACGAUCAGCCACACUGGGAUUGAGAACGGCCCAGACUCCUACGGGGGGCAGCAGUGAGGAAUUUUCGUCAAUGGGGGAAACCCUGAACGAGCAACGCCGCGCGCAGGAAGAAGGUUUUCGGAUCGUAAACUGCUUUUCCUGGGGAAGAGAACGGACGGUACCCAGGGAAUAAGCCCCGGCUAACUACGUGCCAGCAGCCGCGGUAAUACGUAGGGGGCAAGCGUUGUCCGGAUUUAUUGGGCGUAAAGCGCACGCAGGCGGUCUUUCAAGUUUCGAGUGACAGGUGGUGGCUUAACUGCCACAGGCCUCGGAAAACUGGAAGACUUGAGGGUUCGAGAGGGACGCGGAAUUCCAGGUGGAGCGGUGAAAUGCGUAGAGAUCUGGAAGAACACCAAAGGCGAAGGCAGCGUCCUGGCGAACAUCUGACGCUCAUGUGCGAAAGCCAGGGGAGCGAACGGGAUUAGAUACCCCAGUAGUCC